rnacentral:rRNA from 1 species
GCUCAGCGCGAACGUUGGCGGCGUGCCUAACACAUGCAAGUCGAGGGGCAGCAGGCUAUUACCUUAUGGUAAUAGUGCUGGCGACCGGCAAACGGGUGAGUAACACGUAGCUAACCUACCCAUAGGUUGGGGAUAACCAUCCGAAAGGGUGGCUAAUACCCAAUAAAGAGGAGACUCCAAAGCCGCAAGGCGCCUAUGGAUGGGGCUGCGUCCCAUCAGCUAGUUGGUGAGGUAAUGGCUCACCAAGGCUACGACGGGUAACCGGUCUGAGAGGAUGAUCGGUCACAGUGGGACUGAGACACGGCCCGCACCCCUACGGGGGGCAGCAGUGGGGAAUAUUGGGCAAUGGCCGAAAGGCUGACCCAGCAACGCCGCGUGGUGGAUGAAGCCCUUCGGGGUGUAAACACCUUUUCUGGGGGAAGAUAAUGACGGUACCCCAGGAAUAAGGGACGGCUAACCACGUGCCAGCAGCCGCGGUAAUACGUAGGUCCCGAACGUUGCGCGAAAUUACUGGGCGUAAAGGGUCCGUAGGCGGUCUGGUAAGUGGAAGGUGAAAUCCUACGGCUCAACCGUAGAAUUGCCUUCCAAACUGCUGGACUUGAGGCAGGGAAAGGUCGGCGGAAUUCCCGGUGUAGCGGUGAAAUGCGUAGAUAUCGGGAGGAGCACCAGUGGCGAAGGCGGCCGACUGGAACUGUCCUGACGCUGAGGGACGAAAGCUAGGGGAGCAAACCGGAUUAGAUACCCGGGUAGUCCUAGCCGUAAACGAUGGAUGCUAGAUGUGGCCUACGAAAGUAGGCUGUGCCGCAAGCAAACGCGUUAAGCAUCCCGCCUGGGGAGUACGGCCGCAAGGUUG